UAAGGAAUAUUGGUCAAUGGACGCAAGUCUGAACCAGCCAUGCCGCGUGAAGGAUGAAGGUCCUCUGGAUUGUAAACUUCUUUUAUAGGGGGCGAAAAAAGGGAAAUCUUUCUCACUUGACAGUACCCUAUGAAUAAGCACCGGCUAACUCCGUGCCAGCAGCCGCGGUAAUACGGAGGGUGCAAGCGUUAUCCGGAUUCACUGGGUUUAAAGGGUGCGUAGGCGGGCGUAUAAGUCAGUGGUGAAAUCCUGGAGCUUAACUCCAGAACUGCCAUUGAUACUAUAUGUCUUGAAUAUGGUGGAGGUAAGCGGAAUAUGUCAUGUAGCGGUGAAAUGCAUAGAUAUGACAUAGAACACCUAUUGCGAAGGCAGCUUACUACGCCUAUAUUGACGCUGAGGCACGAAAGCGUGGGGAUCAAACAGGAUUAGAUACCCUGGUAGUCCACGCCCUAAACGAUGAUUACUCGACGUGUGCGAUAAACGGUACGCGUCUGAGCGAAAGCAUUAAGUAAUCCACCUGGGAAGUACGACCGCAGGUUGAAACUCAAAGGAAUUGACGGGGUCAUAGCUGUUUCCUG
rnacentral:rRNA from 1 species